GAUGAACGCUGGCGGCGUGCCUAAUACAUGCAAGUCGAGCGAACGGACGAGAAGCUUGCUUCUCUGAUGUUAGCGGCGGACGGGUGAGUAACACGUGGAUAACCUACCUAUAAGACUGGGAUAACUUCGGGAAACCGGAGCUAAUACCGGAUAAUAUUUUGAACCGCAUGGUUCAAAAGUGAAAGACGGUCUUGCUGUCACUUAUAGAUGGAUCCGCGCUGCAUUAGCUAGUUGGUAAGGUAACGGCUUACCAAGGCAACGAUGCAUAGCCGACCUGAGAGGGUGAUCGGCCACAUUGGAACUGAGACCAGGUCCAGACUCCUACGGUAGGCAGCAGUAGGGAAUCUUCCGCAAUGGGCGAAAGCCUGACGGAGCAACGCCGCGUGAGUGAUGAAGGUCUUCGGAUCGUAAAACUCUGUUAUUAGGGAAGAACAUAUGUGUAAGUAACUGUGCACAUCUUGACGGUACCUAAUCAGAAAGCCACGGCUAACUACGUG
rnacentral:rRNA from 1 species